GUAGGUAGGGGAUCAGAUAUGGCAAAGGGAGACCUCCUGAAGAACUAGAUUCCAGAGAAUCAAACAAAAAGCGUUAUCUUGAUGAUACUGAAUAUUUGUUUUGAGAUUUAUAUAUUACAGAAUGUACAGCUUUGGUGAGUCUUAUCGUCAGACAUGCUGAACUGACCUGCUUGAACUUCUGACCUCUGGGAUUUUCAGCUGGAUUCAGUGAGGACACAGACAUCAGAGACUACAAUAAUUGUUGGUGUGGCCCUCUUAAAGCCAAACAACUCACUCAUUUUCCCUACCCUCCUCAAAGAUAUCUCAAUGCACAUAUACAGCUGUAGUAGGGAGACCUCAAACUCAGAGUUCCACCUGCCUCUGGCUCUCCACUGCUGGAAUUAAAGGACUCCAUGAACACUUUGCUUCAGAUCCAGCGACUGUAAUCGAAGCAACUGGCCAGACCCUUCUGCAUUUUUUAGCAACUCUGGUCGAGGGAAACACAGGAAGGACUCCAAAAGCCUGUCCAUAGCAGAAUUCAAGAGGUUUCAGAAGUCCUGAGAAGCAGGAGAACAGAAAAAAAAUGGAAGUAGAAUCUUGAUUGAUGAGACAAUAAAUAAGAGUGUAGGGGAGAAGCUGCAGAAACUGUGGUGGCUGCAAGUGAGGCCUCCUCAUGUCACUGACUUGAAAGCAAAGCUGUAGAGAUGUUGAGUUUAACUGCAGAAGCAAAGAGCAGAAUCUGGCCUGAAUGAAGGGACUAAAGGUCCGAUGGAUGGCAGGUUCAGAUGAUUGAACAUGAAGAAAUGUAGACAAUGGUGUGACAUAGAAGGAGAUGUCGGUCAUCACAUUACAAGGUCAGCCAGGAGAGGAUCCCGGGCAGUGUUGUGAAACUGACAUGGGACACCUUACAUUGUGAAAUGAAGUCGGGGAAUCUGGAAAACAGAAGUGAAGUUAAAUGUGUCCUGGUGCCAUUUUCCUCUGAGCAGGAAGUGUUUGCCUAUUCUCUGAUCCUUGCAGCAAUCCUUCAUAAACGCCAACUCUUCAGAAAGAAGCAGUCAUCAAACCUGGACACUGAUCACACCCCAUCCAGUAAGGCCAGGGGAAGAACAAAAGCAACUCACAGACACCAGUGCUGACUUAAAGGAUAGGAAUGGCCCCCAAAUUCCUGCAAAGAUUCUGUCUGCAGUCAAACUUCCCGUGUAGACUGACAUUAGAGUUUCCACUGGAUGCUUCUUAAAUGUUUUUCCAUUCUGUCAGCUUUUGUUUAUGUGCUGCUGUGGGUUGGUGCACCUGCACUUUCUGCAGGAUUCCGAAGAGGUCAGAGCUGUUACAUCCCACCUGGACCUGGAGUGACUGGAAGUUCUGUGGCAUCUCUAGUGCAUGCUGGAAACUGUGCUGAGGUUCUGUGUAAGAGCAGUGUGUACUAACCACUGAGCCAGCUCCCCAAGCUCUUAACUCAUGCUAAGGAGAACCCAGACCCCAAUGGUCAUGCUUGUGCCUCAGGAGUUUGAGAUCCACUGCUGCAGGAUGUUGUAUUGCUUUACUGAAGGGAACUGCUGAGCUAUCCGUGAUUCUCCUGUAUCAUCAUCCAUUUAAUAAAUGCAGCUCCAGGAGAUCUGCUUCGUGAGACAGAUAUGUUCAAGUGAUUUUGGUUGCUUGACUAGACUUAUGUUCAUGAAUGCCUCCAAAAAAUAUAUGUAUGUCCCCUG